CGUUCCCGGACCUUGUACACACCGCCCGUCAAGCCAUGGAAGCUGGGAGGACCUGAGGACAGUUGCUGUAAGGCGCUGUUUAGGGUUAAACCGAUGACUGGGGCU
rnacentral:rRNA from 1 species